UACGGAGGGGGCUAGCGUUGUUCGGAAUUACUGGGCGUAAAGGGCGCGUAGGCGGCCAACUAAGUCGGAUGUGAAAUCCCCAGGCUCAACUUGGGAACUGCAUCCGAUACUGGUCGGCUUGAAUCCGGGAGAGGGAUGCAGAAUUCCAGGUGUAGCGGUGAAAUGCGUAGAUAUCUGGAGGAAUACCGGUGGCGAAGGCGACUACCUGGCCUGUUCUUGACGCUGAGGCGCGAAAGCUAGGGGAGCAAACGGG
rnacentral:rRNA from 1 species